rnacentral:tRNA from 1 species
GGAUCGGUAGCUCAGCGGUAGAGCGUGGGAUUGCAGUGAUUUGAACAACUAUCCUAAGGUCACGCGUUCGACCCGCGUUCGAUCCU